GCAGGUCUGUCAGAGUGACUGUGUAGUGACUGUAGAGACCCAGGAAUAUAAUAACGGUAGCAGGUCUGUCAGAGUGACUGUGUAGUGACUGUGUAGUGACUGUAGAGACCCAGGAAUAUAAUAACAGUAGCAGGUCUGUCAGAGUGACUGUGUAGUGACUGUAGAGACCCAGGAAUA